rnacentral:rRNA from 1 species
GUAUCCUACGGGACGCAGCAGUGAGGAAUAUUGGUCAAUGGGCGGGAGCCUGAACCAGCCAAGUCGCGUGAGGGACGACGGUCCUAUGGAUUGUAAACCUCUUUUGUCGGGGAACAAAGGCGCCCACGGGUGGGCGGAUGAGUGUACCCGAAGAAAAAGCAUCGGCUAACUCCGUGCCAGCAGCCGCGGUAAUACGGAGGAUGCGAGCGUUAUCCGGAUUUAUUGGGUUUAAAGGGUGCGCAGGAGGACAGUCAAGUCAG